GACGAACGCUGGCGGCGUGCUUAACACAUGCAAGUCGAACGAAGUGGCGAACGGGUGCGUAAUACGUGGGUAACCUGCCCUCCUUUUUGGGAUAAGCCUUGGAAACGGGGUCUAAUACCGAAUAAAGGGGGAUGGGCUCGCGGCCUAUCAGCUUGUUGGUGGGGUGAUGGCCUACCAAGGCGGUGACGGGUAGCCGGCCUGAGAGGGUGACCGGCCACAUUAGUACUGAGAUACGGCCCAGCGUCCUACGGGAGGCAGCAGGCGGGGAUAUUGCACAAUGGGCGAAAGGCUGAUGCAGCGACGCCGCGUGGGGGAUGAAGGCUUUCGGGUUGUAAACCUGUUUCGCUAUCGAAGGGGUAGGUGGAGAUGAAGCGCCGGCUCACUACGUGCCAGCCGCCGCGGUAAUCC
rnacentral:rRNA from 1 species